AUUAGAACAAAUCCAAAGGCUCUUUAGUUGUUAGAGCUGCUUACAAGGAGACAAGGAAACAAGAAAACCAGACUGUUAGCUUCAAUUGAAUGCAUUUGUUACAGGUCAUGUUGUUUCUUCCAUUUCAUUCUCUCUUUCUACCUCUCACUCUCAGAAUAAAGGAGGUCAGUAAAGCAACCGCGAAAGGUCUUCCCAUGUUUGUCAAGAAUCUUGAGUGGGUAUUUUGUGUUGGCGAAGCUUGCACUCUUUAAACACCCCACCACCUUCAAAAUCUCCAUAAAGAACAGCACUUUGGCAAAAGCAAGGAUAUCAUGGCUAGUGUUCUGGGAGUGUUUAAAGAUGACACAUUUGUUAGAUGCAUUUAAGAUGAGAUCCAUAUAAAUCCUGUAAUCCAUCUUCCAAGCGAAGAAAGCUUGCAUGCCUCUGAUCCUCAUGCUCUUCCUGGAGGUCUUCCUGACUUCCCACUUCUCCUGAAAACCACAUGCAAAGAAUGGUGGUGAGACAUGGACAACACUGUGGAGGCAAUCAUUGGACUCAGGGGGGCUAAUCAUUAUCUACUUGUCUGCUCAAUCAUAACAAUGAGAUGAGCACAGGUUAUGUACGAAGUGUGCACGAACACUGAAGGCCCUCUACAUGUGUGCCAUGUCUAUGUUUCUUAGUUUCAUUUUUGGGCUCAGUGCUCUUUCUAAACUGAGCUUAGUUCUUCAUUUCUGUGCAAAUUAUAUGGUUUGGCUUAUACUUUCAAAGUAGUGGCAAGAUCUAAAGGACAUUGAUGAGCUAAAUCCCCCAUCAUUUCAUCAAAAGAAGAAGGUUGAGUCAAGGAAGGAUGGAAGAAUGUGGGGGGUUUAAAUGCACAAAAUCAACAGAAGUCAUUUUUUCCCAACCCUCUUACUUGUGAUGAACAGGCUAAUGGCAACAUUAGUUGAGAACUCUGUGAAAUGGCCCAUGAAUUUGAUUUCCUCAUGCAUGUCAUAAAUAUUAAUCCUAUUAACCAAGCUAGAUAAAACUUCAUGGACAAAAAUAUUUGAAGCUCAAGAACCAAAAAUUCAACAGUCUAUUAAGUCAAGCAGUAGGGAAGGAGAUCAACAUCAGAGAUGACCAAGAACAAGUAUAGCACAACACACAAGUACCUGUUGUGUAUCGGAUCAGGUCCAUUAGGCACUCUUCUCUUGCUACUAUAGAAAGGAUCCAGCUUCAUGUGGUGUAAUGGCCAAGCCAUUGGUGAAGGCACAGUAGGAGCAGCCACUGGUGGUGCAAUAAUUCUUGUUGCUGCACCAGGUUUUGCCAUGGAAACCAGGAGACCGAUGCAGAACAAGCAUGCCAGGCCACCGAACAAGGCCCUCAUCUCCUGCUCUUCCUUGGUGACUCCCCCGGAUCAAGGCAAUGGAGAGGAGCUUGGUUUCUUCCAAUUCUUAUACUGGGGGUUCUCCUUUUCCUUUUGAAUCUUGUACUUAACCUUUGGAGUUUGGGGGCGAUUCUCGCUUUUGUAGGACUGUCAAGGCGGAAGAGGAAUAAAAGCAAGCAGGUUGCGAACGUGGAGUGUUGAUUCGAACUCCCUGGGUUUGGGACCACAGAGGCCCACCCCCCACUGCUGCACUUUGAUGUCUACGUUCCUUCUCGAAAUCGGUUCCUGCGUUCAUGACAGUCGUGGCCACGAAGCAGUGUCUUUCAAGUACAGGAUUCCAUCAGCACCUCCAAACAAGCACGAGAGAUGCGAAUCGAAAGGACCGAAGAGUCGCGAUCGAUCGGAGUCCGCACAUUGGAGCUGUCCUGAUCCAACAAAACAUGUACCGCAAAACAAUUAGUUAAGGAUGGCCUGUCAGAUGACAAAACCCAAGCUGUCCUUUCUGUUCAUGUUGCAGAGAGAAGUGACCUGACAAGGAGACAAGCAAUCGAGGAUGACACCGAAGCAGAAGCUGUUUGGAGGACAGCAGCAUUGGCUGACAAAAAGGACGAGGCAUUGUUCCAGCUGCAGCAGCAAGUAAACUAAAUCGUGAUGGCCAAUGGGGGAAUCUGGAGAUAUCACUGCCCAUAUCUGGUGACCAGCAGCCCCCCUCUCUCUCUCUCUGUGCAGGAACUCGGUAUGAAGAGACUCUGCAACGCACACAGACUGCUUUGCAUGACAGAGCUUGUGCAUAGUCCAACCUUGCUGCGUGCUGGUUUCCCUGUCACCAGACCUGGCAACCACCAGACUGCAAGCUUCAGUGGUAAUCCAACGGGAAAUUUCCAUUCCCUCUUCGGUGU